AUGUCUUCAAUUGGUGCACGUUCAGCUGAAAUUUACGUUAUGCAGAAGAGGCAGAAAGAAAAGAUGAAAAAAAUGGAAGAGGAAAGAGGAAGAAUAGGUGAGGUCAUGCGUGGUGAUGAUCAAAACAGAAAGGAAAGUUCUAUUAAUAUUGGUAAGAACAAAGUGCAUCCAGGGAGUGAACAAGGAGUUCCACUUAAUUCAGCAUAG